rnacentral:rRNA from 1 species
AUUGAACGCUGGCGGCAGGCCUAACACAUGCAAGUCGAGCGAGCGGCGGACGGGUGAGUAAUGUAUGGGGACUGCCCGAUAGAGGGGGCUAACUACUGGAAACGGUGGCUAAUACCGCAUACUAUCGGAUAACCCAUAUGGGAUUAGCUAGUAGGUGGGGUAAAGGCUCACCUAGGCGACGAUCACUAGCUGGUCUGAGAGGAUGAUGAGCCACACUGGGACUGAGACACGUCCCAGACUCCCACGGAGACAGCAGUGGGGAAUAUUGCCCUAAGGGGGCAAGCCUAAUGCAGCCAUGCCGCGUGGAUGAAGAAGGCCUUAGGGUUGUAUAGUACUUUCAGCGGGGAGGCGUUACCCGCAGAAGAAGCACCGGCUAACUCCGUGCCAGCAGCCGCGGUAAUUC